CAUAGGUUAAUGAGGCGAACCGGGGGAACUGAAACAUCUAAGUACCCCGAGGAAAAGAAAUCAACCGAGAUUCCCCCAGUAGCGGCGAGCGAACGGGGAGGAGCCCAGAGCCUGAAUCAGUGUGUGUGUUAGUGGAAGCGUCUGGAAAGGCGCGCGAUACAGGGUGACAGCCCCGUACACAAAAAUGCACAUGCUGUGAGCUCGAUGAGUAGGGCGGGACACGUGGUAUCCUGUCUGAAUAUGGGGGGACCAUCCUCCAAGGCUAAAUACUCCUGACUGACCGAUAGUGAACCAGUACCGUGAGGGAAAGGCGAAAAGAACCCCGGCGAGGGGAGUGAAAAAGAACCUGAAACCGUGUACGUACAAGCAGUGGGAGCACAGAGCAAUCUGUGUGACUGCGUACCUUUUGUAUAAUGGGUCAGCGACUUAUAUUCUGUAGCAAGGUUAACCGAAUAGGGGAGCCGAAGGGAAACCGAGUCUUAACUGGGCGUUAAGUUGCAGGGUAUAGACCCGAAACCCGGUGAUCUAGCCAUGGGCAGGUUGAAGGUUGGGUAACACUAACUGGAGGACCGAACCGACUAAUGUUGAAAAAUUAGCGGAUGACUUGUGGCUGGGGGUGAAAGGCCAAUCAAACCGGGAGAUAGCUGGUUCUCCCCGAAAGCUAUUUAGGUAGCGCCUCGUGAAUUCAUCUCCGGGGGUAGAGCACUGUUUCGGCAAGGGGGUCAUCCCGACUUACCAACCCGAUGCAAACUGCGAAUACCGGAGAAUGUUAUCACGGGAGACACACGGCGGGUGCUAACGUCCGUCGUGAAGAGGGAAACAACCCAGACCGCCAGCUAAGGUCCCAAAGUCAUGGUUAAGUGGGAAACGAUGUGGGAAGGCCCAGACAGCCAGGAUGUUGGCUUAGAAGCAGCCAUCAUUUAAAGAAAGCGUAAUAGCUCACUGGUCGAGUCGGCCUGCGCGGAAGAUGUAACGGGGCUAAACCAUGCACCGAAGCUGCGGCAGCGACACUAUGUGUUGUUGGGUAGGGGAGCGUUCUGUAAGCCUGUGAAGGUGUGCUGUGAGGCAUGCUGGAGGUAUCAGAAGUGCGAAUGCUGACAUAAGUAACGAUAAAGCGGGUGAAAAGCCCGCUCGCCGGAAGACCAAGGGUUCCUGUCCAACGUUAAUCGGGGCAGGGUGAGUCGACCCCUAAGGCGAGGCCGAAAGGCGUAGUCGAUGGGAAACAGGUUAAUAUUCCUGUACUUGGUGUUACUGCGAAGGGGGGACGGAGAAGGCUAUGUUGGCCGGGCGACGGUU
rnacentral:rRNA from 1 species